AAAUUACUUUCAAGCAUUAUGUAUUGCUUAGUACAUAUUUUGUGAGGGACAUCACUUUCAAACGUUAAAAUUUUUCUAACUUAGAUUUUUUUUUUUUAGGAUGCUGAAUUGCUGCAUACACCAGAAAACCCUGUGGAGGCAUGUCUGUACACAGCUGUGACCUGCUUCAAGAAGGGCAUCCAGAAACUACAACCAGCGAGCAGCCAAGACAAUGCAAAGUUCACCAAAGCCAUUAGAAUUGUGAGCAAAUUGACCUGCAGAGGUGCUGGAGAGGUAGGAUUUCCUCACAUUGCUCUUAAUUGCCAUCAUUCCUCCUUAUGUUCUAUAGCAGAUGCCCCCUGCAAUGGGGAACUGUAGAAGGUAAAUCUGUUAGAAAAAUCAAUCUGCCUAUCAUUACUUCGGAAAUUAAAAAGUCCAAUUUUUGCAGUUUUGGAAGAAGCAUUCCCUGUGACCCUAAAAAGUCACAUGUCUACUUGGCAAGCACACAAUGUGCUGGCAGAAGGACAGGGAUCACUGCAAAAAUGUGAAUGAAAGGUGUCACUACUAAAUUCCUUCACUUUAGAAAAAGCUUGUGUCAAAGCUUUUGCAGCUAGAAAAGGCAUUGAUUACAACCCUCUUGAUUUUUCAGUGAGAAAGUUUGAGGUUUGAUUUAGGAUUGUGAGGUGCCCUUCAGAAGUAGCAUGACUCUCUUUAUCUUCCAGCAGUGUGAGCAUACAUGUGAAUCUUUUGAGAAGAAAACCCCCAAAGAAUUUUUGAAGAGCUUUGCAAAUCUAAUGCAGAUGCUAUUCAAGAACUAAUCUAGGACACACCAGAGCUGAAGGCUACUGAAAAUCUAAUUUUUAAAGGAGACACUAUGUUAUAUUUAAGAUGUGAAAAAUGUAAAUACUUUCCAGUGCUAUUAUGAUGUAUACUCUGUGUGUGGUAAGUGAAAGCUUCUCCCAAAAUAUUUAGAAGUCUUAUUUGGAUGAGUAUUUGUGAGAUGGAUGCUAUUCUGCAAGUGAUUCUAAUCUAGUGAUUAGAAUUAAAUUCUAAUUUCACAAAAAUAGGCUCUUGUAAGGGCCUUGUAAUUGUGCCCCUUCUGCUGAACUAGAAAUACAAGACAGUUAGUUUUGUAUUUUUGCUUUGAUCUUAAUCGAAUCCCAUGCAGAGAUUUCUACAACUUUCUUAAGAAAAUUAACCAAAAAAUUAUCAGAGGCUUUGAAGCCUCAAAGGAAAUCUGCUUGUUUUCUUUAUUUACAAUAAUACCACACACAGAGCUUUAUUUAUAAGUUCUUAGACUGCAUCUUAGCUAACUAUGUAAAAAUAUCCUGCAUUUAACUGCCUUCUCAGGACUGGAAAAAACAUUUACAAAUCAGACUCUAUGGCUGUGAUUAACAUCUUGAAGUUAAUGGCACAUUUGCCAUGUGAUUCAGUAGGGAGAGAUGUAACCCACAUGCUCUAAGUGAAGAUACAGGAUUCUGGGGCGAAAUCUUGUUUUGGAAAAAGGAAUUUCGUCUACACUGCCCCAGCUUAACAUGAUAGAUAUAGCAGAGAUGUGACAGCCACUGCAAAAUGUCCAAUAAAUACAGUAAUUGAUGAUUAUUCUGAGCAAAACAGCUCUAAUGCAUAGUGCUCCUUCUCAGAGGACAGCAUUUACCCUCAUAUUCAUGUACCAUUUCUCAGGUACAUUUAAUGUACCUCUCUCCUCCUGAGUAAUUUUAACAGUUUUUUUAUUUGCCAUUUUUUCUUUAAAAAUCUGUUGAGUUUUUUGUUAUGUGGAAACCUUCCUGUACAGCUCCUGAAUCCUGAACAUUUCUGUGGAACUAUGGCCAGAGAUACCACUGAAAUUAAAAUUAAUUAAUUAAUAUUAAUUUUUGCAGCUUAAUUAUA